UACAGAGGUCUCAAGCGUUGUUCGGAUUCAUUGGGCGUAAAGGGUGUGUAGGUGGCGCGCUAAGUCGGGUGUGAAAUUUCGGAGCUUAACUCCGAAACUGCAUUCGAUACUGGCGUGCUUGAGGACUGGAGAGGAGACUGGAAUUCAUGGUGUAGCAGUGAAAUGCGUAGAGAUCAUGAGGAAGACCAGAGGCGAAGGCGGCCGGCUGGACCUGACCUGACGCUGAGGCACGAAGGCGUGGGGAGCGAACGGG
rnacentral:rRNA from 1 species